rnacentral:rRNA from 1 species
CCCUUAGGUGUUCUGGGCCGCACGCGCGCUACACUGAUGCAUUCAACGAGCCUAUCCUUGACCGACAGGUCCGGGUAAUCUUUGAAUCUGCAUCGUGACGGGGAUAGAUUAUUGCAAUUAUUAAUCUUCAACGAGGAAUGCCUAGUAGGCGCAAGUCAUCAGCUUGCGUCGAUUACGUCCCUGCCCUUUGUACACACCGCCCGUCGCUCCUACCGAUUGGGUGUGCUGGUGAAAUGUUCGGAUCGGCCGUUUGUCGCGGUUUCCGCGUCAUGUGGCUGAGAAGUUCAUUAAACCCUCCCACCGAGAGGAAGGAGAAGUCGUAACA